rnacentral:rRNA from 1 species
UACGGAGGAUGCAAGCGUUAUCCGGAAUGAUUGGGCGUAAAGCGUCCGCAGGUGGCUGUGUAAGUCUGCUGUUAAAGAGUCUAGCUCAACUAGAUAAAAGCAGUGGAAACUACACAGCUAGAGUGCGUUCGGGGCAGAGGGAAUUCCUGGUGUAGCGGUGAAAUGCGUAGAGAUCAGGAAGAACACCGGUGGCGAAGGCGCUCUGCUAGGCCGCAACUGACACUGAGGGACGAAAGCUAGGGGAGCGAAUGGG